rnacentral:lncRNA from 1 species
AGUAGUUUGCCAACCCCUAGUUUAGUAGCAAGACAAAAGAAGUUAUUUGCUAUGAGAUUAAAUAGAGAGUUUAAGCCAGAGACUAAUGCAGAACACCUACUGGAAAAGGAAAGGAAAGAGAGAGGAAGAUAAGAAUUUAUGAAAGAUCCUAAAAUAUAAACAGGAGCCCCAGCAGAUAACUUAGAAGGGUGGAAGGAAAAUUAUUUUUUCCUCCCUUACAAGGUGUUGUGGGUGGCCAAGAAAUGAGGAACAGCGUAGUGUUCAUCUACAAGGAAAUGAAGUCUCUGAACCUCAUCUUUGGACACAAUGUUCCAACCAGUUGUCUUAACCAAGUGCCUUGAAAAGAGAACAAGGUACCCUACGGGUGGUGUUGAGGCUGGUCCCCAACAUUGGUGGAAGAAGCACCUUUAUGGACCAGACAGCCAUGUACUCGGUCAGCCCCACUGCAGAUACGCCGGAAGGAGGUCCAAAAGCCGUUUUCAGGGAGAGGACUCUUUGCCCCUUGUUAGUUAAACCUUGGCAGACAUGCUGGGCAGGAAUGACAUACCCUAUGUGUAAGUACCUGGAAAACCCCACGGUGCUCCCACACACUCAACCGGAAGCAGCAUUUUCAGAUCUGCUCGUGCUGGUUCUUCUGCAUUAGUUGAUAGUCAGUUUAGAUUUCAGAUGUCACUGUCCCUGAAGGGCCUCCCCUGGUGCCUCAUAAAGGCCAAGAGACCACAAAAGUUGAAUGGCCAAGCCAGGCUGGCACGACGCAGUGCCCUAGCUAUCUCCUUUUCUGCUGCAGAAGCGCACUACCGGUGACGGGCAGUAGUGAGUGGGAGGGCCACCAUCUGAAAUGUGCUGCUCCUUUUGAUGAGUGGGUACUGUGUUUUUCUCUGCUUUUAGCUCCUAUUCUGAAGAAAUGAUAGUGAUUUUCACCCCAUCCCCGAUCAAACAGGACUGUGACUUACGUUUCCCAGUGUUCAUUGCUAAUUUCAUGCACCAUUAAGUUUUGUAGUCUCCCAUGUCCAUUAGACCUUGCUUCUCCCUCUGGGAUGUUGGGACAUUGUGGGGAGCAUAUUGUGAUAUGUUGGCAUGCUGGGGUGGGGGAGGCCACAGCUGACUUGGGAGAACUUGUCCCUUGGUGACACCCACCCACACUGAGCUUGAACUUCAGACAAGGGAAAUUGACUCUUACUCCACUCCCCACCCUCACCCCAUGGCAGCCUGGCUCACCAACCACAGCGAAGCCGGACUUGGCCUCUUGGUUCUUCUCAACACAGCUCCCCAGUCAGACACCACCAACUGAACUGAAUUGGCACUAUUUGGUAGUCUAGCCUGACUUAUAAUAACAAUUGAAAAAGAAAAGAUAAAUCUGUCCUCCAAACUGGAUUCAGUUAUCACACUAUUGCUCGGAUCUAUUGUAUCACUUGGAGCCCUGCGCUUACAGUGCUAUUCUGUGAAUUUCUUCUAACAACAAGAGUCUAUAAGGUGAGAGGGCCCCUUGUUCUUUCAAAGAGAAAGGAAAUGUCUCUUAAAGCAUCAUUUAAACUUAAAUUUUAAUGUUGUUUAAGCAUGGAGAAGUACAGAGAAGAAAACAUUUGAUGACCCACAUUCUUAUUGCCCAGCUCACUCCUGACUGUAUUAGAUAAUAAUUAUGACAUUAUAAUAGUUACACAUGCAUACGAGUAGAAAUUUUAAACAUGAAAGCAUAACACGACAAGUGCUAACUUCUAUUCCUUCCUUCCUAAUGAUAACAGCUAUUGAUUAUUAAUAGUUUUUCAUGGGUUCUACCAGAAAAAGUACAUGUAUGUUUAUAUUCUUUUCUAAAAGUUACCAAAAAGGGGGAAAAGGGUGAAGCGUACUCUACAAUAUGUUCUGCAGCUUGGUUUUUUUUCUUCUAACUGAAUUAUACAACUGGCAUUCUUUCCUGAUCCACCUCAUUCAUUCAUUCACAUGGUCUUCCAGCAUAUGGAUGUGCCAUAAUCCAUAAUAUGGAUGUACCAUAACUUAAUCAGUACUCUGUUAAUGGUAAAACAUCUUUUGAAGACUUCAGGGGGCUCAUUGACCCACUUGAACUGUUAUUCAUCAACAAAGGAGGAAGGACACCUAUUUCAUUCAUUCACUCAAAAUCCUGCAGCUCUAAAGAUUAUUCAACUUGGUCCACAACUUCUGGCAAAUACAACUACAAAGGAAAGCAUCAGCAGAGCUGGGGCUGGGGUGUGGUAUGAAUAAAGUCAUUUGCAAUGCACCAGAAUAAAGAUCCCUUGCAAUGAUCACGAGCUGUAAGCACUGACAGUCCUAGAAGACUUGGUCAUGUGAUAGACCAGGUAGCAUUGCCCGGAGUAACAUGAAGGCAGCAUUGCUUCACACAGAGACUUCAAACUAACAGUGUCUCCCAGAAGCCUUACAGCACUGAAAAUGCUUCACUGUAUUUUAUUCAUAAUGGAUAUAUUCACUAUAGAUGCUGAGUCUGCUAAGCCAGCUGUGUUUUCCUGUCACCAAGAUGCCUUGAUGCCAUCUUAAUAUACACAUAUUUAAAAAUUCUCCAUGGAAGAACAUCUUUACUUUGUCUAACUCUAAUUGUGCCAGGGAAUUGAAGUAGUCAGUUCAGAUAAUGCUGAAACUUAUUGACUACUUGUUAGUUCUGUGUCCUGGAGCCUGUGAUCUAACCAUUCUAAGCCUAUAAAAUGAAGGUAAUGAUGCCUACCCCAUAGGGUUGAUGGGAUGAUUAACUAGGAUAAUUUAUAUCUACAGAGAAACAUAUAUGGUGUGCCUCCACUUAUGUAGUUAAACAGCUAUCUCUGU